GUUUAUGGCCAUACCACCCUGAAUACACCUGAUCUCGGCUGAUCUCAGAAGCUAAGCAGGGUUGGACCUGGUAAGUACUUGGAUGGGAGACCGCCUGGGAAUACUGGGUGCUAUAGGCU
ensembl:rRNA LOC120100217 5S ribosomal RNA